rnacentral:lncRNA from 1 species
GGGGUGGCGGCAACCGACGGGCGCGGUGGCAGCGGCAAACGACGGGGACGGCGACGACAACUGACGGGGCGACGCGGUGGAUCUGGCGAUGGGGCGGCGCCAGCGGGUCUUCGACGGGACGACGCCGACGGGUCUUCGACGGGGCGGUGCCGGUGGAUCUGGCGACGGAGCAGCGCCGGCGCGCCGGCGGGCCUUCAACGGAGCGAGGCUACGCUAGUUGAUCUAGCGAGUGCGGAGGAGGCACGCGCUCGCCUGGGAGGAGGCAUGGGUUCCGCACGAGCACGUGCAACGCGGGGUCACGUGCGUACGGGCGGGUGCGUGGUUGCUGCAUCCACCGAGCGAAGCUCCCCUUGCGCGUUUCUCUCAGCCAGGCCCGAAGGCCGAAUUUGCAUGUCCUCAACCAGACUUGUACAGACAACCAAACAUACUAAAGUUACGAGGGAAUGCGAGAUGGAGCUGGUGCAGAC